rnacentral:rRNA from 1 species
UACAGGGGUCUCAAGCGUUGUUCGGAAUUACUGGGCGUAAAGGGUGCGCAGGCCGCGCGGGCAGUCAAAUGUGUAAUUCAGGGGCUCAACCCCUGCACUGCGCUUGAUACUUCCGCGCUCGAGCUUUGGAGAGGAGUCUGGAAUUCUCGGUGUAGCAGUGAAAUGCGUGGAUAUCGAGAAGAACACUUAGGGCGUAGGCAAGACUCUGGACAAAUGCUGACGCUCAUGCACGAAGGCUAGGGUAGCGAACGGG